GAAUAUUGGACAAUGGGGGCAACCCUGAUCCAGCCAUGCCGCGUGUGUGAAGGAGGCCUUAGGGUUGUAAAGCACUUUCAGUGGGGAGAAAGGUGGUUUGGGUAAUAGCUGAAUCAAUUGAUGUUACCCACAGAAGAAGCACCGGCUAACUCAGUGCCAGCAGCCGCGGUAAUACGGAGGGUGCAAGCGUUAAUCGGAAUUACUGGGCGUAAAGCGCACGUAGGCGGUUUGUUAAGCCAGCUGUGAAAUCCCCGGGCUCAACCUGGGAAUUGCAGUUGGAACUGGCAAGCUAGAGUAUGGUAGAGGGGUGUGGAAUUUCAGGUGUAGCGGUGAAAUGCGUAGAUAUCUGAAGGAACAUCAGUGGCGAAGGCGACACUCUGGUCCAAUACUGACGCUGAGGUGCGAAAGCGUGGGGAUCAAACAGG
rnacentral:rRNA from 1 species